GUAAAUAAAAGUUUUGGAGAUGGCAGCAUUUGGAAGCAAUCCGGAGAAGGACUCGGAUCUAUGCAUUGUUUCACAAUCAAAGCUGCAUAACACUCUCUGGUCCAUCAUGGUCUUGGGUAUCAUCAGGGACUGUCACAUCAACCAGCCUGUGGCAGAGGAAUUCAGCUCUGCUCUUAUUCACUAACUCCAUAGCUGCCCAGGAGGAGGGAGUGGAGGAGAAUCCACUGGUGCUUUUGCAGAGCUGGUUUCCCUUUGCUCCAGAUGCACACAAGUGGCUUCAACUUCCCGAGGCUCCCAGUGAGGAUGGGAUUGGAGCAGCCACUCCAACCCACCAACUGGUCUUUACCUAAGUGCCCCACAAAACAGAGGUGACACAUUAUUGACUGUGACAUCUGGAUUGCAUUUAAAACUAAUAGGAUGAAAGGCUGGUACUUCAACAGAACAUCUCUCACUUUCCACAUGAUUAUCUCCAUCUCUGCCUUUGAUAGGUUUGCAUUCAAUUGCUUCAAGUAUUCACUCUGGAUUUGAACCAGUUGGUAUUCCUUGACAAUUUGCUUUGAACACUGUCAAAUAAGGUAUGGUACUGCCUUUUAUGGGGUGUUUUUGAUGUCUUACUUUCCCCUGGUUCCUCUGUCCUUUUCUCUUUCUAAUGUGGGAUCGUGUGGUUGCACCUAGACUCACUCACUCUUUGGAGCAAUCUAUAAUAGAACCACUUGGAAAAGAACAUAUCUUAUUUUUACUUUUCUAUGUUUCUUUCAUUAGAAUGAACUUUGCAUUGGAGGAUUAUUGACAAAUAUGUUUUAAAAAGAUGUGAAUAAAAACCUUUAUGGUCCA